AUGGAGCGCCGCGGGUUGCUCAAGGCGGCUCUACUGGCGUCGUGCUUGCUCGUGGUUUGCUCCGGGAGAGUACCUACGGUUAUACAGCAGCCAUCCACUACCAUAUACAACUCAACCCUUGCCAAGACACUAGUGGAAUAUGCUGCUGCCAUAUAUACUGCUGAUUUGACACAAUUGUUCACCUGGACAUGUGAUAGAUGCGGUGACCUGAUCGAGGGGUUUGAGAUGAUGGACAUCAUCGUAGAUGUGGAGAACUGCUUAGAGGCAUAUGUUGGUUUUGCCAGUGAUAUUAAUGCUGUCGUCGUUGUGUUUAGAGGAACUCAAGAGAACAGCAUCCAGAACUGGAUAGAGGACUUGUUAUGGAAACAACUUGAUCUUGAUUACCCUGGCAUGCCUGAAGCAAUGGUACACCGAGGAUUUUACUCUGCUUAUCAUAACACAACCAUACGCGAUGGAAUCGUCAGCGGUAUUCAAAAGACUCAGAAAUUGCAUGGAGAUGUUCCAAUUAUGGUCACUGGGCAUUCAAUGGGGGCAGCUAUGGCUUCAUUUUGUGCACUUGAUCUUGUUGUGAACUACGGGUUGGAUGAUGUGAAGCUGAUGACAUUUGGGCAACCUCGUGUCGGCAAUGCUGCUUUUGCUUCUUACUUCAAGAGAUACUUGCCUCACGCGAUUCGAGUUACUAAUGCAAAUGAUAUCGUCCCUCAUCUGCCACCAUACUUCUCGUUCUUCCCUCAGAAGACCUACCAUCACUUUCCAAGAGAGGUAUGGGUCCAUGAUGUCGGGCUCGGGAGUCUGGUAUACACGGUUGAGCAGAUCUGCGACGACUCCGGCGAAGACCCGGCAUGCAGCAGGUCUGUGAGCGGUAACAGCAUUCAGGACCACAUAACCUACCUGGGCGUGAGCAUGCACGCGGAGGCCUGGAGCAGCUGCAGGAUUGUCAUGGACUAUGCCGAACUGCGGUACAAGAUGGACCUCCAUGGAAACGUCGUCUUGUCGAAGCAGCAGCAGCAGUCUGGUCUGUCCAACGAGCGAAGAAGACACAGCGCCCAGUGA
rnacentral:rRNA from 1 species